rnacentral:rRNA from 1 species
AACGAACGCUGGCGGCGUGGAUAAGACAUGCAAGUCGAACGGGAACUUUUCUGGUAGCAAUACCGGAAAAGUUCUAGUGGCGAACGGGUGCGUAACACGUGGACAAUCUGCCUUAAAGUGGGGGAUAGCUCGGCGAAAGCCGAAUUAAUACCGCAUGUGAUCAGAGACGACAUCGUCUCGAAAUCAAAGCCGGGGCAACCUGGCGCUUUUUGAGGAGUCCGCGGCCUAUCAGCAGUUGGUGAGGUAACGGCCCACCAAGGCUAUGACGGGUAGCUGGUCUGAGAGGACGACCAGUCACACUGGAACUGAGACACGGUCCAGACACCUACGGGUGGCAGCAGUCGAGAAUUUUUCUCAAUGGGGGAAACCCUGAAGGAGCGACGCCGCGUGGAGGAUGAAGGUCUUCGGGUUGUAAACUCCUGUCAUUUGGGAACAAGGCGGACGUGUUAACUGCACGUCCGUUGAUAGUACCAGAAGAGGAAGAGACGGCUAACUCUGUGCCAGCCGCCGCU